UGUAUAUCAGUUACACGCAACUCAAGCGAGUUCUCUCUCGCUCGGUUAUCGUCUCCUCCAAUUUCAGACCGGAAAUAUGGCCGGAGAGUCUCCGUCCGCCGCCGCAUUUUUGGCUCGUUCAGGGCACUCCAAACACUCUGAUGGGUCGUUUUUCUCUCUGCACGUCUCUCGUAUUUGCAUCAACUCCUCUUCAUCCGACAUGAUAAUCUCCAUCAUUUCAGAGCCUAAACUCGAAGCCAUCUGCCUAGACAGAUGAAUGCUCUUUUCCUUAUUGUGGUGACAUGGUUGAAGAACUUGCUCCUCACUCCUUAUAAUCAGAGUGAUCUUGCAUUAAAGAUUUGCCUCCCUCUUCUUUCAAGGGGAAAGUCCUGCACUAUCACCUAUGGCACACUCUCAAACAAACUCCCAACAUACGCGGAAAAGGUUUUGUUCGGCGCACCGAGCUUUCUCUACGUCUCCUAGUGUAAGUCAAACUGUCCGGAGGCUUAUCAGAUCGAUGAGCAGAAGGAAGAAGAAGAAUUGCUUUCUCCACGGGAGAACUUGUUGUUGAGAUCGAAAAAAAAUCAUGCAGCACGAAAACUACAUCGAACAAAGAUGUGAAUACGAUGCAGACAACAUGUUUGGGUUGUGGUAAUAUACAAUCUCGAUCGCCUAUACUUGGUUGUUUAGAGGCAUGCUAGAGGAGCGAGUAGUCAUUUCUCUCUUGGUAAAACCUAAACUAGAAUCAUUGAGAGACCCAUAAAACAUAAAGUUUCUAUAAGAAAGUGAUCUUUAAAAAACUCAUGAGACUGCCACUGACAUAUAUUGUUUUCACCAUCACAGAAAAUAUCAUUCUCUUUAUGUAGAGCAGUUUGUAUAUAAAGUUCAUAACCACUUCUAUUUAUCCAAGUAAAAAAACUUAUAUUGUACGUUUUCUAAAGUUGAUGUUGGUGACAUGAGCUGAAGCCUAGUAGAAGAUAAAUGAAAGUGUAUUUUCGGUUUGUGUAUGGACUAACUUAUGUGCAUAUAACAGUUUGAAGCAAGAGCUGGUCGAGUUGGGAAACUCGUGAUUGCAAACCUCGUAUAAGCUCACAGCGACGCAGUAACGUUCCUCCACUAAAGCGGCAGAGCGUUCUCGUGCUUCUUGUCUCUUUUUCUUCUUCAAAGAUUCAACGUUUAUAUACCCAAUCUUCCUGAAAUGCUACUUUGCCUUGGAGUUUUGUUGUCUCGAAUUGGAGCUUUUGUGUUGCAUAAUGGCUGCUUUUUCCUCGCGAAGGAUGACUACCAGGUUUUGGACGGGCGAAACAUCAGUGAAUGGGAACCCAUAAACCAAAUCUUCUCCCUCUAUUGAGCCUCUUAGGGUGCUGCAGUAAUGUUCAGUCCACAAGAACUGGUUUGUCGUUGUUGAUCUUUGGAUCAACAAGUUAUUGUUACCUUCAAGACUUGACUUGAGAACUUGUAGACAGAUGGUGCAACAGAUGACAAUUCAGAUGCAUUGUCUGGGCCAUAUGGUGAUAAUGAAUUGAACAUCUAACACAGCGUCGAGUGUAGACAUUUCGGUUUCG